ensembl:lncRNA
CUGCUUUACAUGAAGCAUAUCAGCUGUUUCAAAGUCCCAACCAUUUGUCUUCCUAAAAUACUGGUCCUUCCGUAUAACAAUAACCUCGUAUGUGAUUGGAGGACCCUUAGACUCCUCGUCCAAUCACGUGUGAGGUCAUAGGCAUGACUGAUACAGCAGUACUUGCAAGACGAGCAUACAAACAGACACGUGUGUUACUAUACUCAGAAGAACUGUAUCUCCAGUUCCUUUGUUUGGUUUUUGCUGCUUCGUGAAUAAUGGCUGGACGACGUCUCGCGUUCAACUCGCCUUCAACUCCUCUCCGCGGUCACCAACUUUCGGCCAGUCCGCAGACAGACGAGAAGAAGCUGCUGAUGCUCUCAGUGGAUCGUCUCGUCAACUCCAACAACAAACUGCCGAUAUCAACGAGCGGUUCGCUCCACUGGAGCGUUCGGGAUUCUGCGGGUUUCUGUCCACGGAGGAGAGGAACCGACUCAAAGAAGAGGAGACGGGCGCACGAUCCCAAGAUAGCGGAAGCGGCGCGCCGUCUUCACAACUCCGAGACGAACUACAGGCGCUACGAACCGGAGAAAGGACUAAUCUCGCCUCAUAAUGAGGCGGUGACCUCGUAUUUGCUCCGGGAAAAGUCCAGAUUUAGACGUCAUUGUGUCCGCCUGUGAGACGUAUUGUGAGACGGGACGCAGGAGCUUCAGGUUCAGCCGGACACUCAUUGCGAGCGGAAGCUGCGAAGGAUUCAGCGCGGAGUCGAGCGAGAAGAAAGAGGCUGUUGGAAUCGAGACAAAGUGUGCUGGCUGAUGAUGAGGUGGAACUCUGGAACUCCGCCACCGUGGAGCUCACGUCGGACGCAGGGGACGGCGUUGUUGGCGGGGUCUCGGGGUGGAUUGUACGGUCGCCACACACACACGAGCCGCCUGCACAACAGACCUGCCUCGGAAAACACGGCGCCAGUGACGGUCUACAACCCCGAGGAGGCAAACGGACAGUUUACUGAGCUGUAGUUUUUAACCCGCCGUUACCCAAGUGUGGGCAGAUCCUCACUUUGUAUGUAGUUGUUGUUUG